CCCGAUGCCUCUGGAAAGUGACGCGUUCCGCGCGUCCGCCCAUGGGGAAAGGUCUUCGGGCCGAAUCUCUCAGGCGCCCCGACAGAGGGAGAGGA
rnacentral:ncRNA from 2 species